rnacentral:tRNA from 1 species
AGAAAUAUGUCUGACAAAAGAGUUACUUUGAUAGAGUAAAACAUAGAGGCCACAACCCUCUUAUUUCUA